UGUUGUAUAGUGCAGGACUACAGCUACCUAAAACAAUGAUUUGGAUGUAGAAGAUGCACGGACUGUACCAAAACAGUUCAACUGAAACAAUAAUACUGCCGCCCGAACCGAGAUUCUCAAAAUAGCUUCGUCAUCAUCUUGCGGCAUACCUGCUUUCACCGAGCAAUGGAUGUGGGCUUUGGAUUCAUAGUAGACCCAGUCGAAACCA